CUACGGGUGGCUGCAGUGAGGAAUUUUGCGCAAUGGGGGAAACCCUGACGCAGCAACGCCGCGUGAGUGAUGAAGGCUUUCGGGUCGUAAAGCUCUGUCAAGUGGGAAGAACCCACAUGGUGCCAAUACCACCAUGUGCUGACGGUACCACUGAAGGAAGCACCGGCUAACUCCGUGCCAGCAGCCGCGGUAAUACGGGGGGUGCAAGCGUUAUUCGGAAUCAUUGGGCGUAAAGAGCACGUAGGCGGUUUCAUAAGUCAGAUGUGAAAGCCCGGGGCUUAACCCCGGAAGUGCAUUUGAAACUAGGUGACUUGAGUAUGGGAGAGGGAAGUGGAAUUCCUGGUGUAGAGGUGAAAUUCGUAGAUAUCAGGAGGAACACCGGUGGCGAAGGCGACUUCCUGGACCAAUACUGACGCUGAGGUGCGAAGGCGUGGGUAGCAAACAGGAUUAGAUACCCCAGUAGUC
rnacentral:rRNA from 1 species